rnacentral:misc_RNA from 1 species
GAUGAAAACGCAGCGAAAUGCGAUAAGUAAUGUGAAUUGCAGAAUUCAGUGAAUCAUCGAAUCUUUGAACGCACAUUGCGCCCCUUGGUAUUCCGAGGGGCAUGCCUGUUCGAGCGUCAUAUUAACCACUCCCGCUUGCGGGGUCUUGGGCUUCGCCUCCGGGCGGGCCUUAAAAUCAGUGGCGGUGCCGUCGGGCUCUACGCGUAGUAAAUUUUCUCGCGAUAGGGUCCCGGUGGAUGCUUGCCAACAACCCCCAACUUCUUAAGGUUGACCUCGGAUCAGGUAGGGAUACCCGCUGAACUUAAGCAUAUCAAUAAGCGGAGGA